UUCCUGAUAUCACUUCUCUUUUCAUUUCAUUGUGACAACUGCGGACUCUAAGAUCCAAGUGUAUCAGUAACACGUUGUAUUCAUUUAUUGUUUCUACGUGGUAUGAGAAGAAAGAGAAGUCUCAUCUUCUUAGCUUGCUCCAUGAUACGAAAUCUUCACACCAGCAAUUCCUCACCCAUGAACACAGACCGUGUUGAAAAUCUGUCUGGCCAGGGGUGUUAAGUGAGCUUUCCUGUGCACUCGACCAGAUAAUGCUGUCAUGGUUUCUGUACGUGACAUCAAGAUUGGAAGACCUGAAGCUGGAGUCUUGGACAUGUCAGUGUCCCAUCUGGGAGAUGGUGGUCUCUUACGGCAAGCUUCCUCUUCCCCACCUCCUUACCAAAACCUUCAUCACCACAUGCAUUCUUGACAUCCCACCCCCUCCAAGAAGCUGCAUGGUUUGGGGGCAGUGAUGUUCUCUGCUGAAAUAAUGAUUUCCUGUCUCCUUUUCUGCUGGUGGUGGACUUGGGGAAUAUCUCAUCAAUAGGGCUCUUGGAUUCAGGUAUGGAGACCUCUGCCCUGAGCUCCACACCUCAGAAGACCCACAUACCACAAACAGAAAACAAAGAAGUGAUUAAGGAUGCAAAUGCCUCCAUCACUUAGGAUGUGUCCUUGAGCUUGGACAUAUCCUAAACUUCUGCUCUCAGGACUUACCCUCCUCAGGUCCAGGAAAUUGGAAGUGUUUCACAUCUUUUGUCUUCUGUAUGCAAAGCAAAAGCCAGGUAACGUAAAUGCUGGGAAGCAUAGUGUGUCAUGCUGCAGACUUUAGAAAAGAUCUUGAUUUGAAGUCAGAGAGGAUGUAAGCGUCAGGGGAGCUUAGACAAGAAACAAAGAUACAUUGAUUUGUCAAAUUCUCCCUCUCAUAUGCAUCAAUGAAUGAGAUUCUUCUAUAAUAAAGGAUCAUUUUAGAGUAGUGCUGCACUUCCAUGUUCUUUCUUCUUUUUGUGCCCUAAUGUGA